ensembl:lncRNA
GCACACCCCAGUGCCUCCCAGUUCCUUCCCAGUCCAUCCCAGUUCCCUCCCAGUCCAUCCCAGUUCCCUCUCAGUCCAUUCUCCCAGUUCCCUCCCAGUCCAUCCCAGUUCCCUCCCAGUCAUUCCUGGUGCCUCCAACAGCACACCCCAGUGCCUCCCAGUUCCCUCCCAGUCCAACCCAGUUCCCUCCCUGUCCAUCCCAGUUCCCUCUCAGUGCAUCCUCCCAGUUCUCUCCCAGACCAUCCCAGUUCCCUCCCAGCCAUUCCUGGUGCCUCCAGCAGCACACCCCAGUGCCUCCCAGUUCCCUCCCAGUCCAUCCCAGUCCAACCCAGUUCCCUCCCAGUCCAACCCAGUUCCCUCCCAGUCCAUCCCAGUUCCCUCCCAGUCCCUUCUGGUGCCUCCAGCAGCAAACCCCAGUCCAUCCCAGUUCCCUCCCAGUCCAUCCCAGCGCCUCCCAGUCCAUCCCAGUUCGCUCCCAGUCCAUCCUCCCAGUUCCCUCCCAGUGCCUCCCAGUUCCCUCCCAGUCCAUCCCAGUUCCCUCCCAGUCCCUUCUGGUGCCUCCUGCAGCGCACCCCAGUGCCUCCCAGUGCUUCCCAGCAUCCCCUGCUGUCUUCCAGUUCAUCCCAGUCCAUCCCAGUCCCCUCCCAGUCCAUCCCAGUUCCUCUCAUCCUGUCCCAAUUCCCUCCCAGUCCCUUCUGGUGCCACCUGAGGCACACUCCAGUGCCCCCCAGUCCCUCCCAGUGCCCCCCCAGUACCUCCCAGUCCUCCCCAGUGUUUCCCAGUGCCUCCCAGUCCCUCCCAGUUCCCACUUUGGUCUUCCUGGGCCAAGCUGUUAUAAUUAUUUGCCUCUACCUCACCUGGGUCGUGCCCCACAUCCCCCCCAGUCCAUCCCAGUCCAUCCCAGUGCUUCCCAGUCCCCUCCCAGUCCCUCCCAGUGCCCACUUCGGUCUUUCUGAGCCAAACUCUUAGAGUUACCUGCCUCUAUCUCACCUGGGUUGUGCCCCACAUCAUCCCCAGUGCCCUCCCAGUCCCUCCCAGUGGCCCCCAGUGCCCUCCCAGUGCCUCCCAGUCUCCUCCCAGUGCCUCCCAGUUCCCACCUCAGUCCUCCCAGGCCAAGCUCUUAGAGUUACCUGCCUCUAUCUCACCUGGGUUGUGCCCCACACCCUUCCCAGUGCCCUCCCAGUCCCUCCCAGUACCUCCCAGUGUCCCCCAGUGCCCUCCCAGUCCCUCCCAGUGCCCUCCCAAUCCCUCCCAGUGGCCUCCCAGUGCCCUCCCAAUCCCCUCCCAAUCCCUCCCAGUGGUCUCCAGUGCCCUCCCAGUCCUUCCCAGUACCUCCCAGUCCUUCCCAGUCCCUCCCAAUCCCCCCCAGUCCCUCCCAGCGGCCCCCAGUGCCCUCCCAUUCCCUUCCCGGUGCCCCCCAGUCCCUCCCAGUGCCCACCUUGGUCCUCCUGGGCCGCGUCGUUGUAGUUGACCUGCUUGCGGACGCGCUUGCCCUUGCCCAGGUUUCGUGCCAGGUCCUCCUGCUGCUGCUCGUAGUGGUGCCGCAGCAGCUUCUCCCAGUAGUCGGGGUCGACGUUCUCCUCCUGCUUGAUGAUCUCGCGCUCGAUCUCCUCGAUCUG